rnacentral:lncRNA from 1 species
UUUUUUUUUUUUCUUUUUUGGUCGCCCCAUGGCAUAUGGAGCUCCCAGACCAGGGAUCAGAUCCAAGCCACAGUUGCAACCUAAGCCACAGCUGCAGAAACACUGGAUCCUUAACCCACUGUGCCAGGCUGGGGAUCGAACCUGCAUCCCAGUACUCUCAAGACGCUGCUGAUCCCGUUGCACCACAGUGGGAACUCCAGGAAUCGGCAAUUCUGAUGGAUGGCCAUUCCCCGGUUCUCUUUCCCGUUGCUUCGCCAAAGAGAAAAGCCAAGCUCCAUCUCUCCAUGAACCUGCUCCUCCAUCACAGACCAGAAAGGACCCAGGUUGAUCAGGCCAAUAGCCCCAGAAACCCCUCUUCUUCGGCCAGAAUGGGGCGUUGAAAUCCUGUCAUUCAGCAAGAAGAGGAUCCAUGUCAGGUUCCUCUCUCUUCUCUCUCCAUCCCGCCAUCUUUCUCUUGGUAUGGAGUGUCUUUUUUCUGUCUUUCGCCUACUUCUUGUCCCCUUCCUGAAUUCUAGCUCUUUCUUUUGGGUUGGCAGACACCAGAGGGCAACAUUUUACUUACUAGUCAAUUCUUGCCUUUCACCAGUAGAGGGAAGAGUUUGAGAGAACCUCCAAGAACUGGGAGGUAUGUGGAAAUGAUUUUGAAAUAUGGCAUCAGCUUAGUGCAGUGCAACUGCUCUCUCAAAGGCAUCUCGUGCCAAGGCAUUCUGUUCCCGUCGGUAAAUAAUCUGUUAUAAAACUGUUGCAUUGCAUAUUAACUCACCAGAGCACGACACUGGCAAAAUUUCCCUCCAGGCUGUAUUUUGCAAAGAGACAACUUUCACGUGAUGUGAGACCUGAGAUUAAACUAACAGAGGUCAUGCAUUAUUCAAGGUCGAGCCGACAUUCCACCCCUUCCUCACCACUUAGUCUUUUGAGGUCUGGUUUUCAUUUUCUUUCACAAGCCCUGAAUGGCUUGUUUUGAGUACCUGUCAUCGUAGGACCCUGGGUGCUUUGCGGGUGCAUGUGGGCUUAGUUGGGCAGGUGAAGUUGAGCCAAUCAGAACAAUUCAUUAUGAACCAAACAGCCUAGCCUGCAGGGCAGUAAGUAUUCAAGCAGCCCCUCUUCAACUUGCAAGAGGCUCCUUCACCAGGGCCUGCCCAUUCAGCCACGCAUAUUCAGGGAAUUAGAGAAGGUUGAUGGUGGUGUUGUUUUUAACAAUUUGGAAGGGACGGACUCAGAAGUGAAACUUGCACCACUGAACUGACCAUUCCCCACAUAAUUAUCCUGACCAAGUUGGCACUAAUACCUUUGAAAAGGAGACAACAUAGAGCUAUAGGCAAUCUGUUCAACCAUUGCAAUUUGCUCAAUUGUUUGGAUCUAAUUACCUGGCCUGGAUAUUUUCUGCUUGGUGUCCCCAGCCUUUCAACCAUUUCCAAAGCCAGAGCUUUAUCGAGAAGGUCUUUGAAAACUCCUUUAGCUAGAGUCUGUGACGCAGCCCCUCUUUAGGUGCAUUUUUGUAUCUGAGGUGCUGAACUUGAGCCCAUGACUUUGCCUUCAUUUCUUCAUCAACGUCCCUUCUCGGAUUGAUUACCUAAAGCAAGAGUUCUCAUCCUCAAGUCCAGAAGUAGACGCGAGCAUUUCCAUGAAUCCCUUGAAAUUAUCAGCAAAAUUCUCUGUGUAUGUACACAGCAGUGUUUUUGCACAGAGGGCCCAUCAGUUUCCUUGGAUUCUCAAAGGGCUCCAGGACCUCCUUCUUGUAGCUGCGCGGUCACGAUGUCCAUAGCACAGAAUUCCCCUCAUCAGUAUGCAAGAAUGGGCUUCAGGUGUGUGCCUGACCCUCUGCUCUCAGCCCCUGGGCAACACGACAGGGCCAGGAAUGGCUGGAACUUCCAAGUCGGCCUUCUCCUGCCAAAAGCUGCCAAAAGUUGCUAUAAAAAUACUCUUUUUUCUGAGCCAGUGUGGAUUAGAGGUUGGGACGCAUUGCCGUGACCUUUUCACUUUUAUCCCAUCCACCCUCUUUGCCUUAUGCAUCUCUUCCUUCAUCUGCAUGGCCUCCAUUAUCCCGAGGGCAGCUUGGCAUCAAUUUCGCUAGCUGUGGUAUAAGCUGCAUUUGGUGUACUUUGCCAGGAAAGUGGUGGGCUCGUCUCCUCUUCCUAAAAAUGCUCCCUGGCACCCAUAGCUUGGAAUUUGCUUGGCCGGCCACAUGGUGCGUGAGACCAGCCCAUUUCCCCAUUUUCUGGGCUGCAUUUCUUUUGCUAACCCCACGCACCCGCCUCGGUCCUACAUCGCUCCCCCUUGUCCAUGUGCCCAGAAGAACUCCUAUGCCAGGUCCCUAAGUGGCUCCCAGCUUCGGGACCAAUAUUCCUCAAACGCACUCAUGCAAAGAUUCCUUCCAACCAAGAACAACAUUAAGCUCUUCCACCGAACCCACACAUAGCCAGAGUCAGACGCAACAUAACAGGGCAGGUGAAUUCCCACGACUCCUGGCUGACACAGCAUCCCCAGGUCGUGUGACUGGCCCAGUCCCCCCGGCCCCAAAACACACAAAUCCUCAUGCCCCAUGCCCAGACCGGCCAGCCAGAGUCUCAUUACAUGAUGCUCUGAUCACAUUAUGUUACUAUCUAUCAUUUCAUAAUUUUGGUACACCGAGAAGUAUGCCAGGAGUUCCCUGGUGAUGCAGGGGGUAAAGGAUCUGUCAUUGUGGCCAGGGUCGCAGCUAUGGCGUGGGUUCAACCCCUACCCUGGAAACUUCCAUAUGCCGCAGGUGCAGUCAAAAAAAAAAAAAAAA